rnacentral:rRNA from 1 species
GUUUGAUCCUGGCUCAGAUUGAACGCUGGCGGCAUGCCUUAACACAUGCAAGUCGAGCGAAGCGGCUGAAUUGAUUCUUCGGAUGAUUUUCAGUUGACUGAGCGGCGGACGGGUGAGUAACGCGUGGGUGACCUGCCCCAUACCGGGGGAUAACAGCUGGAAACGGCUGCUAAUACCGCAUAAGCGCACAGAGCUGCAUGGCUUUGUGUGGAAAAACUCCGGUGGUAUGGGAUGGGCCCGCGUCUGAUUAGGCAGUUGGCGGGGUAACGGCCCACCAAACCGACGAUCAGUAGCCGGCCUGAGAGGGCGACCGGCCACAUUGGGACUGAGACACGGCCCAAAACUCCUACGGGAGGCAGCAGUGGGGAAUAUUGCACAAUGGGGGAAACCCUGAUGCAGCGACG